rnacentral:lncRNA from 1 species
GUACAUUUAAUAUUAGUAAUCUGCAUGCAUGGUCCCUCGUUCUGUUUUGCUGUUAUUGAUGUAGCUCUAUGAGAGCAUGUGGUGUGUUACCCCACACACACACACACACACACACACACACACACACACACACACACACACACACACAAGUAUGUAUGUACUUAUUGAUGUGCCUUUGUGUGUGUGUGUACCUAUUGUGGCAGACUGCAGAGAGGAGUGAGGUGAGUGGUAGGUCUGGCAACCUGCUGGCUCCACCCCCAAGCCAUACAUGGACUUCUUCCCCUUAACGAGGCAGGCCUGAAGGUCAUUAAGUGGGGGUGCUUGCAGGUGAAAGGCAGAGCAGGCUACCACAAGGGGAAGCGAGGGCUGUGUGAACCAGGAAGGCUAGCAUACCACAGGCAGGAUCUGUGGUGUCGCCUGGAAGCGCGGUACGGCCUUAGAGAAAGAGAUAGGUGGAAAGUGUUGGACUGAUUACGGACGGUAUCCUAGAGGAGGUGGAUGACCCUUUCCCACCCUGGGGGUUUAGUUUACUAGGUAAAUAAACCAUCCCUCUGAACUGCUCUCUGUGUGUUGUGUCUAUCUGUCCAACUUGGUGGAGUGGAAACCCCACUACCACAGGCCCGCUACCCUAUUUAUAUACCUGCCUAUAUAGCAUGCACCUAUGCAUGUGUGUGUGCGCGUGUAAGCGAAGAACACAAACAAAUGUUUUGCUGUCAACUAAAGAAUCGAAAAGCUGCACGCCCGCUGACUCACCACCUCGCCACCACAGAAGAGGAAGAGACUUUCACUUUGAGACGCUGGGAAAAAUUGAAAAUGAACGCAACACACACCGUGGAGCAACAAUAGCAUCAAGGACGGCUGCUGUUUGUGCGGCAAACCGCACACCUGACAGGAUCCAACACGCGUGGGAGGAAGAGGAGGAGGAGGAGGAGGAGGAAGGUGGUAGUGGAAUGUAAAUCGAUCCAAGCGUCUUCACAUGGCCGGUGGUCCCAGGAUGCCUUUGUCAAACUUUUCUCGGUUGUCGUCUGUCCCCGCUUCAUCCAAUUAUAUAUAAACUAGUCCUGUCUGGCAUGCACAUUAUUAUAUGGAGAGGCAUGAUCAGAUGUAUCAACGUGCGGCUGGAAAUGAAUGAGAAAAGCAUGGUUAAUUGACCUUCGAAAGCAGAGUAUGGUCUUUGUCACAUUACCAAUAAUUGCUAGUUGUUAGCAUUUAGCAGCAUGCAUUAUACCUGAUCUUUCUCUUGCAAUAUCUCUUUUAUAUCAUCGUUUUCAAAAGCACUUUAAACGUAUGCACGCUUACGAUAACGGCUUGGAUGUUCGUGUGGUUUUUUGUCAUCUCCAAUCAAUCAAUUUCUCUUUCUUAUUUGCCAAAUUAAAUGAAAUAAUUCGUUCAUAGUCUCAGCCCCUCCG